UCUUUUAAGAGUGGUUUCAGACAGAUAUGCUUAUGAAUUGUACUCUGUACAUAUUGCAUGUAUUCAUCAAGUAUGAAAGGCUGAUCACCUUCAUUACCCGUCAGUUCAGAUAUAAUUGUUAUGUUCAUUUUCAAUGUUCAUUCAGCUUUGAAAUUUUGUUCAUGCUAAUUCACAACUACAUUGUGAAGGAUAGCCAGCUUAUUAUUCAAACUCUUUCAAUCAUGAUAUAUCUUUACCUUGUUUUUUUUAAACUUGCUAGGCAACUUUCAUGCUCACCCUUGCUAUAUCAUGAUAAAACAUUGCAGAUAAGGCGAAUACGACCAGAUACAGGAAAAGGAUAAUGCCAAGUUCAGCUUGGGAUAAGAUGUGAAGUUAAGUUGUAAAGUAUGUUGAAGAAUAGUAUUGUCAUGUGUUAGACAGUUCACGAUUGUGUAUUAGUUAAGGUUACUCGAUUUUGGGAAUAGUGUGUAAAGUUUAAUGUAUAAACAAUUUAUGUUUAUAUCUUCCGCAACAGUUGUAG
rnacentral:lncRNA from 1 species